rnacentral:ncRNA from 1 species
GCGAGCCGUAUACUUUGAAAGGAGUACGUACGGUUCUGAGGGAGGUAGAUUUGCUUCUUACUACCGACCCUAC